CCCACCAAGACAGGACUCAGAGACAGCUGACUAUUACCACAAGCCCCAUUGGGUAGCACUAGAUUUUAUUCUGACUCCAGUAGAAGGGGCUCUUCAUUGGGAUUCCAAAGGAGGAGCCAUUCCAGGGAACCGCACUGCAGUGAGUUGUCAAGCCUUCUCAACCUUCUCAGGUCUGUGACAGAUUUCCACUCUUUCCUUUGUUUUUAUGACCUUGAUCAUAUUGAGAAAUGCUGGCAAGGUAGCCUGCAACCUAGCCUCUAAUCCGGAACCCUGCUCCUGCCGUCUGAAUACAGUUGGCCCUUGGCCUUGUCUUGUAGUAGAGAAGAGCUCAUUUGUCCAAGUGAAAGCCCUUCC